AGAGUUUGAUCCUGGCUCAGAACGAACGCUGGCGGCAGGCUUAACACAUGCAAGUCGAACGCCCCGCAAGGGGAGUGGCAGACGGGUGAGUAACGCGUGGGAACAUACCCUUUCCUGCGGAAUAGCUCCGGGAAACUGGAAUUAAUACCGCAUACGCCCUACGGGGGAAAGAUUUAUCGGGGAAGGAUUGGCCCGCGUUGGAUUAGCUAGUUGGUGGGGUAAAGGCCUACCAAGGCGACGAUCCAUAGCUGGUCUGAGAGGAUGAUCAGCCACAUUGGGACUGAGACACGGCCCAAACUCCUACGGGAGGCAGCAGUGGGGAAUAUUGGACAAUGGGCGCAAGCCUGAUCCAGCCAUGCCGCGUGAGUGAUGAAGGCCUUAGGGUUGUAAAGCUCUUUCACCGGAGAAGAUAAUGACGGUAUCCGGAGAAGAAGCCCCGGCUAACUUCGUGCCAGCAGCCGCGGUAAUACGAAGGGGGCUAGCGUUGUUCGGAAUUACUGGGCGUAAAGCGCACGUAGGCGGAUAUUUAAGUCAGGGGUGAAAUCCCGGAGCUCAACUCUGGAACUGCCUUUGAUACUGGGUAUCUUGAGUAUGGAAGAGGUAAGUGGAAUUCCGAGUGUAGAGGUGAAAUUCGUAGAUAUUCGGAGGAACACCAGUGGCGAAGGCGGCUUACUGGUCCAUUACU
rnacentral:rRNA from 1 species